UAGUUGAGGGUACAUACAGUAUAUAUACUCCCACUGAAGUUCAGCUGUUGUUCAUCUACUCAGAGAACUCAGCUUCGAUCCAAUUAAAAACACGACAGACAGAAGCUAACGGUAAGAACAGAAGAUGACUGACAGGAGCAGGGAUGCUGCAUCAGUGCAAAGGGAGUAUGUGCGUGUGUCUAAAUCCCUCAAUCGGAAGGAGGAGGAAUACAUUAAAGAGAGACAAGCGGUGGUGG